AUACGAAAGACCUUGCGUCUUUUGGAGCGGCCGAUGUCUGAUUAGCUAGUUGGUGGGGUAAGGGCCUACCAAGGCGACGAUCAGUAGUUGGUCUGAGAGGACGACCAGCCACACUGGGACUGAGACACGGCCCAGACUCCUACGGGAGGCAGCAGUGGGGAAUUUUGCACAAUGGGCGCAAGCCUGAUCCAGCAAUGCCGCGUGAGUGAAGAAGGCCUUCGGGUUGUAAAGCUCUUUCAGUCGAGAAGAAAAGGCUGCAGUGAAUAACUGUAGUUUAUGACGGUAUCGACAGAAGAAGCACCGGCUAACUACGUG
rnacentral:rRNA from 1 species